GAGAGAGAAGCUCUGCCUUCUCUCUAACUUUCCCGUUCAACUCUUCAUCUUCUUCUUCUCUGCUGCCUCUGCGUAUGUAGGUUAACCUGCGCUGAGGGUGCAAUGGCCAGAGGGAGAGGCCGACCUAAGAAAGUUCUGGUGCCAAUUUAUGCAAGCGACACUGUUUUCCCAAAAUCUGUUAACACUGUUCCACAGGCAGUUAGCACUGUUUCAUUGAAAUCUACUGAAGAAACUGUUUCAUUGCCUCAUGCAACAGUAGAUCCACAACCAUCUGGAGUUUCCGUGCUACCAACACCAACUGAGAGGGUUGAUAGCAACUCAAAACCUCAAGUUAGUCCAGUGAUUGUCCCGAUGGAGCCUGAGAAAAGGGGUAAGGACCACAUGCAACAACCACCACCACCUGAUGUACCAAAGGCU
rnacentral:lncRNA from 1 species